GGAGGGAUGGGAGGGAGGGUUUGAGUGGUAAGAGUGGGAUGUCGGGGGAAUCUUCUCUGAUCUUGGUCGUUAUGUCUUUAUAUUGGACAGAAAAACAAGUGACAUGUCUGAUUUUGCCAUUGCAUGCACGGUCAUAUUGUGUUUGUUCAAUGUGUCAUUAUGAAACGUUCCUGCAUACAUGAAUGUGUAUACGACCAGAAUGUGUCAGCCAUAUUAUCACCAGAGAUACAAUCCAAGCAUCUCCAUGGGAAGCAUUGUUUAAAGUAUGCCUUAAUGCUAUGUCAUUAAUGCUAUCUCAUUACAGAUCUAUUCUGGUGUUACCUUCUCUGACACAUCUCAUUAUCUUUCCUUACUUAGACUAGUAGAUGAGAUUCAUUGGUGAGCUGCAGGUGGUGAUUUUGCUUGCGGCAACGGUUGGAUUCAAAUGUGUCUCUCUCCUUCAGAGGAUUCUUCUCCCUCUCUCUUCUUUCUAAAGUUCUGUCUCUCUUUGUCUGUUGUGCCCCCUCCCCUUUUCCCAUCAGCCCCCUGUCCUCCCCCUCCGCUAGCCCUAAAUUCAACCGAAAUACCUUACCUCGGAAACAGGAAAGGGGUCCACACAGUGAUAGAAACACUCUGCCCAAGAAGGGACUCAGGUACCUACUGUAAGAUCACUCAGGCACUGUCUGCCAAGCUUAGCACCGUCCCUAUCGCUUUCUCUCUCUCUGUCCCUUUCUCACAGCUUCAACUCAUGCAAUGCUGGUGUUGUGUGGUUAUUCUUUAUUUUUGCACUUGGCACAAUUUUGUGUUGCGCGUCAGCGCCACGGCACGUCACCUGUCACUACUGUGUGUGUGUGUGUAAAGUUGUCACGGUUCCACGUCACACGCACACACCGUUUUUGGAUUUCUGUUGACUGUCCGCUUGAUUUGUGUGUUGCUCUCGGGUUGAGGAAAAGUGCUUGUACAUUAUGUGAAAUUUACUCGGGACAUAUUCAUCAGGUGCUCUUGGUAAAAAUACAAUCACCAUAUGACGAAUCAAGUUCUGCCUGGUAAAGAUUAAAACAGACGGUAGAAACCGCACCAGUUUUGCAACCUACUCACAUAACCUUUACCCGGCAACUUAUGAACCUCUGUGUUUGGCACUGCAGGUAUGCCCCAUCACCCCAGCUGCGAGGUCAUGAGGAGGCGGCGCGUGAUUGGCUGCGCUUCCAUUCGCAGGGCGGGCUGCAGGACUCAACCAGUAACUCUCCCUUCUCACCUGGAUCCAGCCUCACCUCACCCUCCGGGACACGCUUCAACUUUGGACAGCUCGGUAUGACCUAUAAACACCGUACAAGCCACUGUUCUUGUGUGUGUGUGUGUGUGUGUGUGUGUGUGUGUGUGUGUGUGUGUGUGUGUGUGUGUGUGUGUGUGUGUGUGUGUGUGUGUGUGUAAACUAACCUGUAUAGUGGUGUCCCUUGCAGCAGGUAGCCCCACCACAGCUGCUCAGAUAAACCUGGCCAGCCUCCGGAACAACAGUCUGACCAAUCAGGACACCACCUUUGACCCCUGUGGUGACACCCGCCUGAGGAACUCCUGCGUGUCAUUGGACGAGAAGACUCGCACCAUGAGCCGCUCUGGUUCCUUCAGAGAGGGCUUUGAGGAGGGUGAGUAAAGAGAGAAGAGGGAGGGAGGGAAGCGACAAGAUAGAGAGAUGAUUACUCAUGAUAAAAUCUCAAAUCCUGAGAUGGACACGGCUCUCCUUUGUCCUUCCCAGGUGGUGGUGUCAACCACGGUGAGUGUGGACGGUAGCUACAGGGUUGGAGAGCCCUGGUCUAAAGAAAUGAUGUCAAAUGAGGUUUUACGGUUCUCUCUCUCCCACCUGAAAGCAUCUCAUGUAUCGUGGGUUCCCUACAUUCUUUCGGCAGUUCUGGUUGCGCCUCAGGAAGAACUUGAGGAAGAACCUGGAGGGAGAGGAGACAAGAAAACAGUCUAAGACUCAUGCAUCAGUGCUUUUGGCUCCUGACUGAAUAGAGCUGCGUUGAAUCAAGCAAUGAGAGCAGCAACUUACCCACGUGUGUGUGUGUGUGUGUGUGUGUGUGUCUGUACAGGCGUGUGUGUGUGUAUAGACACAAAUACUUUGGUGCAUGGGUCUCUAUUGUGCACUUUUAUAGUCUACAAUCUCCACUAUACUGGACCAGGGGGUAGAGAGGUAGAGCGAGAAUAAGAAACAGUGAACCUAGUGACACCAAAACCAGGUUUGUAAAUGCCCUCUGGAUAAAGUGUACGUGGUCUCAUUAAGAAUCCAGACGAUCCUCACACGCUCCCACCAAAUAUUAUUAUACAGGCCCUCCAGUGCCACUGUUUUAUCCUCUGUUGUGCCCUUUCUCUUGCUCUCUCUUUUCGCUCCUCUCUUCUCGAUUCCCUUCUUCCCUCCGGGGUUUAAAAAAAAAAACGAAAUAAUUACAGGGUCUUUAUAAUCAAGAAACACGAGGACGUGCAGGAAACCAUGUGUGUGUGUGUGUGUGUGUGGUGUGUGGUGUGUGUGUAUACCCAUGGGAUUGGAUUACUGUGUGUGUCUAUGUGUUCAUAUUAGUUUAUGUGUGUGUGAAUGUGGACUGGGACAUAAACAGUAUACUUGCACACUUUGUUUAAGUUGCCCUAUGUUGAGACGACCACACUUACACGCUAUGUCACUUGACCUAGAAAUGUAUUAUUUGUGUAACCCCCCCCCCCCACCAACACACACACACACACAGGAUAAGGCAGUGAUGUCAUAGAUCGGUCGAGUUCAAGUAGAACUUCUUUGAAUGGAACUUUCAGACAGUUUGCCUACCAUUACAUAGGCGGGGCACCACCUUAUUUCUUAGGCCUUUUGCCCCCCCCCGGAAAAUAAUCUAGGGAAAACCCAUCUCAUGCGUAGACCUACUUCCUGGUCUCUUCUAUGACAUCAUAGCCUAAUCCUUCCUCUAUCUGAUCAAUCCUUCUAGUUGUAGACAGGAAACCACAGAAUUAAAUAGAACCCUAUUAUAGCAGGAAACGGCAUUGUGUCUGGACUUUGAUGUUAAGAUCAGAGACUGAGUUGUUAACCAAUAGGAUAAUACCACUCCCAUCAUAACCCUGUACUGUACUGUGUGAAGGCUAGACACGUGCACACACACACACACACACACACACACACACACACACACACACACACACACAACACACACACACACACAUCACACACAAAUAGCCACACACAACACACACACACACAACACAUACACUAACACAUACACAUGCACACACACACACUAACACAUCCACACUCUAACACACACAUACACACUAACAGACACACACACACACAGUAUACCGCUGUGUGUGGUAGCGUUAUCUUUAUAGGGCUGUUAUUAGGACUUUCACCACCAUGGUGGCUGGUCGAGUCAGGACAAGUGAGAGGAGGUGGAUAAUGGUAGGGUGACUGGUGGAUGGAGCGAGGUGGGUGGUGGAAGAUGGGAUUUGCAUCUUAGGGAGAUUGUUGGUGCUCAAACGUAUUAUGGUGUGCAGUAGUUUUUUCUACAUUGAAAUAUCUUUCGUAUUUUUCCUUCUUUUGGUCACAAACAUGCGGGUAAGUGUGAGUGAGUCUGACGUGUGUGUGUUUGUGUGUGUUAUCACCUGAUGUAGUGUGUGUUGUUAUGCACUGUACAGUUCUGAGGCCUCAUCCCUCUAUGUCCUGUGGCUUUGUCUCUGCAGUUCACGGCUCCUCCCUGUCUCUGGUCUCCAGUACCUCCUCUAUCUACUCUACGGUGGGUACAAGUGGUUUAUAUGUUUUAUUUGAUUAAAGUUUUUCAUCUAUUUAACAUAGCUCCUAAUGCUCUAAUGGUAGAGCCCCCACUGCUCCACCAGUUUACUGCUUUACUGUAUAUGUAGCUAUAUGUUUAUUCAUGUUUAUUAGUAUGUACUGUAUAAUAUUUAUUCGUGAGUUGUAGUAGUCAAUGUUCAAUACCACAAUAAUGCCACAUAUAAAGACCCCACUCCGAAAUAACCAGGCCAGGUGGUCUGCUGCAUUUAUGUUGAUGUUGGGAAAGCUCAUCUUAAAUCAGUUGUUGACGGUAUAAAGUCACCAGAGUCCUUUAUAUGAGACAUGAUAGAGUUUCUACUUGACACUGAUCUAAUGUCAGUUAAGUGUUUCUCUUCCUAUGGUUAAAGUUAGGAUUUGGCUGUGGUAAGCUGAUCCUAGAUCUGUGCUUAGGGGCAACUUUUAUCCUUCACCUGAGACCGAGGGGUGGCUGCUCUUACUCAGAUCCGUGCCAGUCACGCCCACACACAGCCCAGCCAAUCAGUAAAGGGUUUUUCUAUUAGGGUGGGCCACUCCACCUACCCGUUGACAGGUAUACUCCCCGAAAGCAGGUGUAGAGGCGGGUCUGUGUGGAGAAAGAGAAAGGAAAAGAGAGUGACUGAGCUCUCAGACAAGGUGGAACUACAGAGCAGGUCUGUGGCAGAUAACUCAGGAGAGAGAGGAGUCACAGAAGCUGUCAAGAUGAUGGCCACUUUAUCCAUGACAGGAACGGUCACCGCUUGGGACAUACGCACGGUAGGGAUGGGAUGGAGGAAGAGGAGAGGAUAUUCCAGAUUCAGACAGAUUGGGGAUUUGUUCCACCACCAUUUUGAGAUUAUUUGUUGUCGUGAAGAUAAUGACGAUUCAGUGAAAAGGAUGAUGAUUCUGUAGCAAUUGUAGCUCCGUCAAGUGUUUAUUGAUCGACUGCUAUUGACUUGGGGAACAGCGCAAGAAAUCUCUUCUCCUGUCAGUUUUGUUUUGUCUGGGAUGAAUAUGAGAGACAGGUCUGUUUGUGUGUCUCAGAUUGUUUGGCUAUGCCCUCAAUAGUAUGCGUCAACCUCUAACCUUAACCAUUAGGAUGGAAAUGCAAAACUGAACUUAGAUCAGUGUCUAGGAGGCAACUGUGAAUGACAGCUUUGUUUCUGUGUGUGUAGACGCUGUGUUGACAGGUUGUACUUUGUUACCACCCCCCCUCACACUUCUUCAGGUGCACGAGAGUGAAACAAAGUACACACACACACAGCUUUGUUUUUGUGAAAUUUCUCGACUUUUUGGGGAGAAAUUUAUUUUCAAUUAAAAACAUAAUGUUUUCCCUAACUCCUAAACCUAACCCUUAAUCUAACCUUAACCCCUAACUCCUAACCUUAACCACUAAAGCUAACCCGUAAACCUAAAAUAACUUUUUAACAAAUUAAGGACAUGAAAAAUAUGUGUUCUUGUUGUCCUGCCUUGUCAGAACAUUCUGGCAUCCUGAUAAAGUAGGAAGACAUGUACACACACACACACACACACACACACACACACACACACACCAUUAUUAGCUCUAACAAGCAAACACGUUACAGCGCCAGACAGACAGGCGGGACCAGGGGGAAAAAAACAUUAUUAAUUGCAGUUUGUUAUGUCACAAUAACACGGCCACUACUAGUUUUUUUUAUUUGGGUUGACAUCAGGGCUUGCCUAGCAACCGCCCACACACUGCACAGCAAAUCACAGGUAGACGAUACAGAGAUGUGUAGGAGUAGAAUAGGGUAGAAUGGUAUUUUGGUUUGAAAAAUGUACUGACUGGCUCUCUGUGUUGAGACUUUUACCUGUACGUGUAAAGAGGGGGAUUGUGUGAUAUACUGUGUGAUGGGUUGGUCUGUGUGUAUGGGGUUUACGUGCAUGUAUGCUUGUGCCAUUGUGUGUGUAUACAGUUUACACUGUGUGUGGGCAUGAGGCCAAUAAUGUCUACUUGUGUGUAUGUGGUUUUCCAAGCUCUCCUGUGUUACCAUUGUUCAGAGUGGAGUGCAGGGAGACAACACCUCUUAGCAGACA
ensembl:lncRNA